rnacentral:rRNA from 1 species
AGAGUUGAUCAUGGCUCAGGAUGAACGCUAGCGACAGGCUAACACAUGCAAGUCGAGGGGCAGCACGGGAGUAGCAAUACUUGGUGGCGACCGGCGCACGGGUGAGUAACGCGUAUGCAACCUACCUAUCAGAGGGGAAUAACCGGCGAAAGUCGGACUAAUACCGCAUAAAACAGGGGCACCGCAUGGUGAUAUUUGUUAAAGAAAUUCGCUGAUAGAUGGGCAUGCGUUCCAUUAGGUAGUUGGUGAGGUAACGGCUCACCAAGCCGACGAUGGAUAGGGGAACUGAGAGGUUGGUCCCCCACACUGGUACUGAGACACGGACCAGACUCCUACGGGAGGCAGCAGUGAGGAAUAUUGGUCAAUGGGCGGGAGCCUGAACCAGCCAAGUCGCCGUGAAGGAAGAAGGAUCUAUGGUUCGUAAACUUCUUUUGCAGGGGAAUAAAGUGCAGGACGUGUCCUGUUUUGUAUGUACCCUGAGAAUAAGGAUCGGCUAACUCCGUGCCAGCCGCCGC